AAAAGCAAAAGAAGGGCGCAUGGCGGAUGCCUUGGCUCUCAGAGGCGAUGAAGGACGUGACAAGCUGCGAUAAGCUGCGGAGAGGUGCAAAUAACUCGCGACCCGCAGAUUUCCGAAUGGGGCAACCCUCCUGUUUGAAGAACAGGAAUCCCGACUUGUCGGGAAGUCAACCCGGUGAACUGAAACAUCUAAGUAACCGGAGGAAAAGAAAACAAUAGUGAUUCCCUAAGUAGUGGCGAGCGAACGGGGAACAGCCCAAACCACAUUUGUUUCGGCAUUUGUGGGGUUGUAGGACUGCAAUAUGGACUUUGAAUGAAUAGCAGAACAUUUCUGGAAAGUUAGGCCACAGCAGGUGAUAGCCCUGUAUGCGAAAUUCAUUCAAUACCUAGCAGUAUCCUGAGUAGGGCGGGGCACGUGAAACCCUGUCUGAAUCUGCCGGGACCAUCCGGUAAGGCUAAAUACUCCUGAGAGACCGAUAGUGAACAAGUACCGUGAGGGAAAGGUGAAAAGUACCCCGAACAGGGGAGUGAAAUAGUACCUGAAACCGUGUGCCUACAAGCGGUAGGAGUCCCGAUUUAUCGGGAUGACUGCGUGCCUUUUGCAUAAUGAGCCUACGAGUUGCUCCUCACUGGCAAGGUUAAUCCCGAUAAUCGGGAGCAGCCGAAGCGAAAGCAAGUCUGAAUAGGGCGAAUAGUCAGUGGGGGCAGACGCGAAACUUGGUGAUCUACCCAUGGCCAGGUUGAAGUCCCGGUAACACGGGAUGGAGGACCGAACCAGUACACGUUGAAAAGUGUUUGGAUGAGCUGUGGGUAGGGGUGAAAGGCCAAUCAAACCAAGAAAUAGCUCGUACUCCCCGAAAUGCAUUUAGGUGCAGCGUUGAGUUUAUAGUUAUAGAGGUAGAGCUACCGAUUGGGCUAGGGGGCUUCACCGCCUACCAAACCCUGACGAACUCCGAAUACUAUAACUUUUGCUCAGCAGUGAGGGCGCGGGUGCUAAGGUCCGUGUCCGAGAGGGAAAGAACCCAGAUCAUCAGCUAAGGUCCCAAAAUGUAUACUAAGUUGACCUAACGUGGUCCGACUGCUUUGACAGCUAGGAUGUUGGCUUGGAAGCAGCCACUCAUUUAAAGAGUGCGUAACAGCUCACUAGUCGAGCGGUUGGGCGUGGAUAAUAAUCGGGCAUUAAGUAUACUACCGAAGCUAUGAGCCCCCGAUUUAUCGGGGACGGUAGGGGAGCAUUCCAGUAACAUUGAAGAAAAAUCGUAAGGUUUUUUGGAGUGACUGGAAAAGAAAAUGUAGGCAUAAGUAACGAUAAAGCGGGCGAGAAACCCGCUCACCGAUAGACUAAGGUUUCCGGAUCAACGCUAAUCGGAUCCGGGUUAGUCGGGACCUAAGGUAAACCCGAAAGGGGCAACCGAUGGACAACAGGUUAAUAUUCCUGUACCGGCUUUAACUGCGAUGGGGUGACGAAGUAGUGAAAGACCUGCGUGCUGACGGAAUAGCACGUUAAAGGGUGUAGGUAUAUGGAUGGUAGGAAAAUCCGCCAACCGUGCCGAACCUCAUAGUACCACAACGCUUCGGCCGAGUGGAUAUGGUCCUAAACAAACUUCCAAGAAAAACCUCUAAGCUUCAGGUUAAAGCCGCCCGUACCCUAAACCGACACAGGUAGUCAAGGAGAGAAUCCUAAGGUGCUCGAGUGAAUCGUGGCUAAGGAACUAGGCAAAAUAGUCCUGUAACUUCGGGAAAAAGGACGCCUACUUCGGUAGGCCGCAGUGACCAGACCCAGGCGACUGUUUAGCAAAAACACAGGGCUCUGCUAAAUCGAAAGAUGAUGUAUAGGGCCUGACACCUGCCCGGUGCCGGAAGGUUAAGAGGAGAUGUUAUCCUUCGGGAGAAGCAUUGAAUUGAAGCCCCGGUAAACGGCGGCCGUAACUAUAACGGUCCUAAGGUAGCGAAAUUCCUUGUCGGGUAAGUUCCGACCUGCACGAAUG
rnacentral:rRNA from 1 species